UCCACCAAAUAAGUCACUCGCCUCUUCAGUCUUCAACCCAAUCACCACCCGCACGGCCGCACCUCUCCCUGCUCCACCUUGGAACUCCCCUCUCCUCGCCUCGCCGCCGCUCUCUCCUCGCCUUUCCUCCAUGGCCCUUUCCCCUCUCACCUCGCCACCUUUACUCCUCCUUCCGUCCCCUGUCCGCUGCGCUCCCCUCCACGAAAAGCUAGGUUUUCUGGUCCAAGACGGCGACGAACCGCCGGAUCCGGCAUCGGCGAGGUCAGAUCUGGCGGCUGCACGGACGGAACUGGCGGAUCCGGUGGCAGCUUCGGCGGCCGCAUACCGCCGCCGCGCCCGGGCGACCACCAACUUCACUACGUCUCUCCGUCUGCGAUGACGUCCGAAACUACACGAUGACCUCGACACGGUCUUCUUCGUCUCCUCUGACGACGUCGACGACCUCAUGGGAGAGCUCGACCGCGUCCACUAUCUAGCCCUUCCGCCAUGAAGCCUCCUCUACAGGCGCUUUCUGGUUUGUUCGUCCUGGAUUUGGAGGUGGGGCCGUGGGGCUGCAGGAGUGGACUUGGAGGCGACUGGAUCUGGACCUGGAGCUGCAGGAGGUGGCGGUCUGGACCUGGAGCUGAGCGGCGACCUGGAGGUUAGAGGCGAGCUAGUGUGGAGGAGAUCGAGCAACUAGGGACAAGGUUGUUUUGUUCAUUUUUUAUUGUACAAGGUAUUUUUUUAAUCUGACAUUGUAUAAAGUGCCACGAAAUUUUUUUCGGAACGGAGGAAGUAGAUAGUCUAGAAACCACAAAAAAGUAAAAAAUCUAGCUGUUGAUUUGGUGGGCUCUUUGCCUACCUCCGCUCUCACCAUAGGGGUAUAUUAGUAACCAACCUCAACCGUUAGAUUUCCAUAAUUGCAGCUAUCGUACUCUGGCUUUGCCUCCCUCCGCUCUCACGAUAGGGGGUCAUCCCGAGGCCAUCCUCACCUCCUUCGUCCUCGCGCUGCCUGGUGCGAGAUCCAAUCUACAGAAAAUGAUAAAAGGCAAUCCUUGAUCCGUUUUGGCCAUGUGCGCAUGGAGUAGCACCAUAAAACCUGCAAUUUGCUAUGUCCUGCUAUAAGGGCAUGCGACACUGCCGUCAGUUGUUGCGGUGGGCGGUGCGGUUGUCGGGAGAACCAGCGGCUGCGCGCGCUCGCGGAGCUGGCCACGGCGCGGGAAAUCGAGGCGUCCUCCGCGUAGCUGUGCGGGAGACGGUCGUUCGUGAGGAGCUCAGGGCCGCAUCUUGCAGAGCCAGCGGCCUUGAGUCUGCACUGAUGGAGAGAGACAAGGCUGCACUCCUCCCUGUCCGCGAAGAAAGACAAGGCGCUUGCCACAACCGUGGAGCUCGCCGAAGCCCGCCGCCUCGACUGCCUGAGCCUCCAGGCCUUAACAGGGCAGGCCGUGGAAGCCCUUCGCGAGGUAGGACUCCGGUUCGAGCCGGCGGAGGCCUCGAACGCCUCGGCCGCGAUUAUCAACUUCGCCCGCCUCGCCCGGCUUCUCCCGGUGAUACGGGCCGCCAUGGUCGAACAGAUGCGCGUGGAGGGUAUGGAGGCCGUCGAAGUCACCGCCCGGCUCAUCUGCUCGCGGGUACACUUCCUCUGAACCUUGCUCUGGAAAUAAGAUUUGUGCCCCUAAUCUGCAAAUUACUCAUUAGAGUUCCUAUAUAAAAAAAAGAUCCCUGUAGCAUGACACUUCUACUCGUAUCCCUGUGUUUCUAUCAGGAAACUAAACCUGUUUAAUUGAGAUAUGCUUUUGUUGGGAUUAUAAUACCAGCAUUUCUCAGCAUGGAUUAUAAUUUUGUCCUAUAUGUCACAUAAUUAUUGCCAAUUGAUCCAGCUUCAAUGAUCAUGUCUACAAUCUGUUUGUACAUCUGAAUAUGAUAAUGAUUUGUACAAGAAACCCUGUUCUGCCUGGAA